rnacentral:misc_RNA from 1 species
GCUAUAUUCUGGAAUACCCCCUGCUAAUUAACCAAUUGGCGUAUAGAAAUACAUGUAGAGAAGUAAAUUGAUCCGUUAGGGUCAGAAGUCCAAAGCCCAGAUGACCUUGAUUUCGACGUGGCCGCCGUCGAUGCCGAACCGCUGCACCUCAUCCUGUCCGGCGGGUUCGGGGCGGAAACGAGCAACGAUGGGUUCAGGGAGGGGAUGACCCUCGGCCUUCGCCGUGUGGUUAGAAGAAGCGACCGAGGUGUGCAGGGCGGCCUCUAUGAGGAGCAGCGAGGUGAGUGGCACCGCAACGACGGACCGCGACAGGGGGACGACGUGGGAGCCGUCGCCGCCGGUGACGACAGCCACUUUCUCCUCCGCGUCCUGGCAGAAGAGCACGCUCCGGGCACGGAGAUCUUGGUAGCCAGCGGUGAUCCUGCCAUGGACGAGGAUGAUGCCGUCGCCUUGGCCGGCGAGCAGGAUGAGCCUGACCUGCACGGUGGCUUCGACCGCGUUGCUCAGCACCGCGUAGGUCACGUCAACGGGCCCAUGGCUGGUG